AUGAGUAAAUUACUUGUCAUAGCCCUCCUGCUGCUGCCUCUGAUCAACAAUGGAAUCUACUUGGCCAUGGCAUGGGAUGAUCAAGAUUUCUUCAAAUACUGCCCACCUUCCAAGUGCAGCCAACAUGGCCCAGAGGUCAGGUUUCCUUUCUGCCUUGAAUCCAGCAAUACAUCAGCAGCAGCAGCAGCAUCAUGUGGAUGUAGCGGCACCGGCGGAUUAACCAGGAUGUUAGCAUGCUCUGGUCAAGACACCAUCCUAGUUCACCCAGUUCUUGGCUCAUACAGUGUCAGUGCCAUAGAUUACAGACAUUCUUCGGUGAAGCUCAUCCCACUUGUAGACCCCUGUUUGGUGCUACAGCAGAACCUCGUCAUCUCCAGAAACUGGUCGUCUCGACAAGUUGAUGUUAUCGACGGCAUGCAGCUGCCUGAUCGUGAUCGGCAAUUCUCAAUUUGGUCAUAUAGCAAUGCAAACCUGGUAUGCUGUUCAAGUGAGUUCACACCUGCUGCUGCACAUGCCGAUAGCAUCGCAGGCCCAGUCUCCUGCCUUAGCAACACAACCCACUUCUUUUAUUUGGUGGAUGGUUAUGAAGGCAUGUCCAUUCUUCCAUUGGACUGCAAGGUUUUCCCAGUCUCAGAUGGCAUCGGUGGCCGCCUGAUACCCAUGUAUAAAUUUGGGGAACGGAUAUCAGACACAUUCUUGUCAUCGUCCUUUAAGGAAAGCGCAGAAAGAAUGCUCAGUUUUGCUGAGAUGACAGUGUAUUGGUACUAUUAUUUGCAUUGCAUGCUAUGUGAACUCAGUGGGCAACGCUGCGCGUUCAGCUCACAAAGGAAUGAACAAUUCUGCAUGCCUGACCCUCAUGGUUCACGUAUCAAAGUCAUUGCAGCUACAUCAUCGGUGGCCGCAUUUGUCGUUCUUUUGGUGACGGUGGCCACUGUGCUUUAUUUUUCACUCAAGACAAGAUAUAAUGCGGAGAUACACAUGAGGGUCGAAAUGUUUCUCAAGACAUAUGGAGCAUCGAAACCCACGAGGUACACUUUCUCUGAAGUUAAGAAGAUGGCAAGACGGUUUAAGGAAAAAGUAGGGCAGGGAGGAUUUGGGACUGUAUACAAAGGCGAGCUGCCAAAUGGAGUGCCCGUGGCAGUCAAGAUGCUAGAGAACUCUACAGGAGAGGGAGAAGCAUUCAUCAAUGAAGUUGCAACCAUCGGACUUAUCCAUCAUGCCAAUAUUGUCCAACUCCUCGGAUUUUGUUCCGAAGGAAUGAGACGGGCUCUUAUUUAUGAAUUCAUGCCUAAUGAGUCAUUGGAGAAAUACAUAUUCUCUGAUGACCCUAAUAUUUUUCAGAAUCCUUCUAGUACCAGAGAAGCUCCUAGAUAUUGCUUUAGGCAUCGCCCGAGGAAUGGAAUACUUGCAUCAAGGGUGCAACCAGCGCAUCCUCCACUUUGACAUUAAGCCUCACAAUAUCCUGCUGGACUACAACUUCAAUCCAAAGAUCUCAGACUUUGGCCUGGCGAAGUUGUGUGCAAGGGACCAAAGCAUCGUCACCUUAACAGCGGCAAGAGGCACAAUGGGCUACAUUGCACCAGAGCUAUAUUCUCGGAACUUUGGGGGAGUAUCGUACAAGUCAGACGUGUACAGUUUCGGCAUGCUGGUGCUAGAAAUGGUGAGCGGGAGGAGGAAUUCAGACCCAAGAAUCGGGAGCCAGGACGAUGUUUACCUCCCUGAGUGGAUCUACGAGAAAGUGAUCAAUGGGGAGGAGUUGGCGCUUACUUUGGAAGCGACUGAAGAAGAGAAAGAAAAGGUGAGGCAGCUGGCUAAUGUCGCACUGUGGUGUAUCCAGUGGAACCCAAGAAACCGGCCGUCGAUGACGAAGGUCGUUAACAUGCUAACUGGGAGGCUUCAGAGUCUGCAGAUGCCACCAAAGCCUUUCGUCUCAUCUGAGAAUGAACUUAUGCCAUAAUUUAAAACAGAGACUACCAUACUCUGUCAGCAUUCAAGGUUGUACUUUGUCUACAUGUGUGAUGCAACCAUA